GAUGAACGCUGGCGGCGUGCCUAAUACAUGCAAGUCGAGCGAACAGACGAGGAGCUUGCUCCUCUGACGUUAGCGGCGGACGGGUGAGUAACACGUGGAUAACCUACCUAUAAGACUGGGAUAACUUCGGGAAACCGGAGCUAAUACCGGAUAAUAUAUUGAACCGCAUGGUUCAAUAGUGAAAGACGGUUUUGCUGUCACUUAUAGAUGGAUCCGCGCCGCAUUAGCUGGUUGGUAAGGUAACGGCUUACCAAGGCAACGAUGCGUAGCCGACCUGUGAGGGGGAUAGGCCACACUGGAACUGAGACACGGUCCAGACUCCUAAGGGAGGCAGCAGUAGGGAAUCUUCCGCAAUGGGCGAAAGCAUGACGGAGCAAGGGCGCGUGAGUGAUAAAGGUGUUCGGAUCGUAAAACUCUGUUAUGAGGGAAGAACAAAUGUGUAAGUAACUAUGCACGUCUUGACGGUAACUAAUCAGAAAGCCACGGCUAACUACGUG
rnacentral:rRNA from 1 species